rnacentral:rRNA from 1 species
AAGUGUGAUAAGGGAAUUCCAAGUGCUUUACCUUCGGGUAAGGCUUUUGCCAAGUCAAAACAGCUUGGCGAAUAAGUGGUGGGCAAGACCGGUGCCAGCCGCCGCGGUAACCCCGGCGCCACGAAUGGGGGCCAUAUUUAUUGGGUCUAAAGCAUCUGUAGCCGGUUUAGAAACUCUCCUGUGAAAUUGUUGUGCUUAACAUAAUGAAUUGCAAGAGAAACUUCUAGACUUGGGAUUGGGAGAGGAUAGGAGUAUUCUAGGGGUAGCGGUAAAAUGUGAUAAUCCCUAGAAGACUACCAAUGGCGAAGGCACCUAUCUAGAACAAGUCCGACGGUGAGGGAUGAAGGCUAGGGGAGCGAUCCGGAUUAGAUACCCGAGUAGUCCUAGCAGUAAACGCUGUGAGCUAUGUGUUGCAUAUUCUUAGGGAAUGUGCAGUGCCGAAGUGAAGACAUUAAGCUCACCACCUGGGAAGUACGGCCGCAAGACUGAAACUUAAAGGAAUUGGCGGGGGCGCACCACAAGGGGUGUAGUGUGCGGUUCAAUUGGAUUCUACGCCGGAAAUCUUACCAUGGGCGACGGCAGAAUGAAGGUCAGAUUAAAGGUUUUACCUGACAAGCCGAGAGAUAGUGCAUGGCCGCCGUCAGUUCGUGCUGUGAAGUGUCCUGCUAAGCCAGGCAACGAACAAGACCUAUACCUACAUUUGCUAACGCAUCAAUUUGAGGAGCGAGCACAAUG